ACUUGAAGCAAAAGUGUAUUAUGUUCAAAUGAACUACUGAAGGCAUUUUCUAAUUGUUCAAUGUAAUAUGCAAACUGUUCAUACGGAACAUUAAGAUUGCCAUAAGAUAAAGUUUCAGAAUUGUGGGCUUGGAAACGACAAUAAUGUAGUCUCUAGAAUUUCUGCCACAUGCAUUUGUAUAUUCACAGCAUAUGUGAGAAGAGUGUUUUAAGCAUGCAUCCACUGAGUGUCCACAUAUUUAUCGGCAUUAUGAGGUGGUUGGGAAUUAUUAAUUAUGGUGGGGAUGUUGUACCUCUCACUUAAAUUGGAAAUAUCUUGAUUAGCAGAUAAGAAUUGUGGUGUGAUCAAAUGAUUAAAACAGGACUUGCGUUCGUGGUGUAUUUAUUUUUUAUGUUGUCGGUUCAGUAGAUAAGGGAAGAGUGUUAGAGUCUGUGAUUUUGAAAAUGAAAAGACAGGUUGGUAGAGAGCGGUGAAACGGUUGUGUCGAAAGAGUUCUUAGAAGGUACUCGAAAUCUUCGAAGGAUAAGAAUUAUUGGGAAGGGUGAACAAAAGAUAAGUUUUACGACAUGCAGGUGGACGAAGAGAAAGUUUCAGGGUGAUAGUGGUUGGAAGUCAAUAAAUACAGACUAUAUACAAAUAUUACAUGUUGCACAAUUUUGUGGGAUUUGUUAGCCCCCACAAAAUGUUGCUAAAUCAAAAGCACAAUUACCAGUUGGGUUGUGCUGCAUAUAUUUUAUACAGAACAAUAGCUUGUAUUUGCUUAUAUUCUAAUAAAGUGUGAUGUAAAUAAC